rnacentral:rRNA from 1 species
GACGAACGCUGGCGGCGUGCUUAACACAUGCAAGUCGAACGGAAAGGCCCUGCUUUUGUGGGGUUCUCGAGUGGCGAACGGGUGAGUAACACGUGAGUAACCUGCUCUUCACUUUCGUAUAACUUCAGGUAACUGGGGCUACUACCGUAUAGCAUCUCCUGCUGCAUUGUGGGGGUUGGAAAUUUUCGGCUGUUGGGGAUGGACUCGCGGCUUAUGAGCUUGUUGGUUGGGUAGUGGCUUACCCAGGCUUUGACGGGUAGCCGGCCUGUGAGGGUGACCGGCGACAUGGGGACUGAGAUACGGACCAGAGUCGAACGGGAGGCAGCAGGGGGGAAUAUUGCACAAUGGGCGGAAGCCGGAGGAAGAAACGCCGCGGGCGGGAUGACGGCUUGCGGGUUGAAAACAGCUUUCGCCUGUGACGAAGCGUGAGUGACGGUAAUGGGUAAAGAAGCACCGGCUAACUACGUG